UCUUUCGCUGUCUGCCCUAGGUCCCCCCAUACUAUUUCACUAGACCUUUUUAAGCCCUCCUUUUGUCAUUUUUCUUCAAUUCCUUUUGAUUUUAAGCAUGAAUGAGUCCAAGGAAGUAAUUGACCUACCGGUUGAAGCAUCCUCAAAAGAAGAAGCAAAUGCUGAAAUGAUGCUCCUUCCCAUCAUGAGCCUAUGCCUUCCCUAUCUCAGCCUCAUUACCCUGUAUCCAUGGUGCCUCUUGCCACUCGUGUGGUGACCACCAGCUGCAAGAUCGAUUUUGAGUUCUUUGAGAGGGGGAAUUUCAUGAUUGGCAGUGGAGAGCACAGUUGGAAGUUUUUGUAUAGUCUUGACCUACUAACCUACCCCAACCUAGUUCGAGAGUUCUAUGGUAGUCUUCAUCAAAGAUCAAGAGGUAUUGAGUCAUUGGUGAAGGGCACAUGCAUCAUUUUGACCGAGCAGCGACUAGCACAAAUCCUUUAGUUGCUGAGA
rnacentral:lncRNA from 1 species